GGUGUAGUUCAGUUUGGUAGAACGCUUGAUUUGGGAUCAAGAGGCCGUGAGUUCAAGUCUCGCCAC
rnacentral:tRNA from 1 species